CCUACGGGUGGCAGCAGUGGGGGAUAUUGCACAAUGGGCGCAACCCUGAUGCAGCGACGCCGCGUGAGCGAAGAAGUAUUUCGGUAUGUAAAGCUCUAUCAGCAGGGAAGAAAAUGACAGUACCUGACUAAGAAGCUCCGGCUAACUACGUGCCAGCAGCCGCGGUAAUACGUAGGGGGCAAGCGUUAUCCGGAUUUACUGGGUGUAAAGGGAGCGUAGACGGCCCCGUAAGUCUGAGGUGAAAGUCCGGGCUCAACCGCCGAACUGCAUUUGAAACUGUGGAGCUUGAGUGCCGGAGAGGCAGGCGGAAUUCCUAGUGUAGCGGUGAAAUGCGUAGAUAUUAGGAGGAACACCAGUGGCGAAGGCGGCUUGCUGGACGGUAACUGACGUUGAGGCUCGAAAGCGUGGGGAGCAAACAGGAUUAGAUACCCCAGUAGUC
rnacentral:rRNA from 1 species